GAGUUUGAUCGUGGCUCAGAUUGAACGCUGGCGGCAUGCCUUACACAUGCAAGUCGUACGGCAGCACGGGAGCUUGCUCCUGGUGGCGAGUGGCGAACGGGUGAGUAAUGCAUCGGAACGUAUCCUGGAGUGGGGGAUAACGUAGCGAAAGUUACGCUAAUACCGCAUAUUCUGUGAGCAGGAAAGCGGGGGACCUUCGGGCCUCGCGCUCUUGGAGCGGCCGAUGUCGGAUUAGCUAGUUGGUGAGGUAAAGGCUCACCAAGGCGACGAUCCGUAGCAGGUCUGAGAGGAUGAUCUGCCACACUGGAACUGAGACACGGUCCAGACUCCUACGGGAGGCAGCAGUGGGGAAUUUUGGACAAUGGGGGCAACCCUGAUCCAGCCAUGCCGCGUGAGUGAAGAAGGCCUCGG
rnacentral:rRNA from 1 species